rnacentral:rRNA from 1 species
GAUUAAGCCAUGCAUGUGUAAGUAUAAAUAGUUAACUUUGAAACUGCGAAUGGCUCAUUAUAUCAGUUAUAGUUUAUUUGAUGAAGAAUACUAAUUGGAUAACCGUAGUAAUUCUAGAGCUAAUACAUGUAUAAAGUCUUGUAGACUGCAUUUAUUAGAAUGAAAACCAUAGGUUUCGGCCUAUUCGUGAGUAAUAAUAACUAAUCAUAUCGUAUGCUUAUGUAACGAUGUGUCUUUCAAGUUUCUGCCCAUCAGCUUUCGAUGGUAGUGUAUUGGACUACCAUG